CCCCUAAGGCGAGGCCGAAAGGCGUAGUCGAUGGGAAACGGGUUAAUAUUCCCGUACUUCUUACAAUUGCGAUGGGGGGGACGGAGAAGGCUAGGUGGGCCUGGCGACGGUUGUCCAGGUUCAAGUGCGUAGGCUUAAGAGUUAGGUAAAUCCGGCUCUUUUUAAGGCUGAGACACGACGUCGAGCACCUACGGGUGUGAAGUCAUUGAUGCCAUGCUUCCAGGAAAAGCCUCUAAGCUUCAGAUUGUAAGGAAUCGUACCCCAAACCGACACAGGUGGUCGGGUAG
rnacentral:rRNA from 1 species